GCUGGCGGCGUGCCUAAUACAUGCAAGUCGAGCGGACCGAACGGAAGCUUGCUUCUGUUCGGUUAGCGGCGGACGGGUGAGUAACACGUGGGUAACCUGCCCGUAAGACCGGGAUAACUCCGGGAAACCGGGGCUAAUACCGGAUAACACCGAAGACCGCAUGGUCUUUGGUUGAAAGGUGGCUUUUGCUACCACUUACGGAUGGGCCCGCGGCGCAUUAGCUAGUUGGUGAGGUAACGGCUCACCAAGGCGACGAUGCGUAGCCGGCCUGAGAGGGUGACCGGCCACACUGGGACUGAGACACGGCCCAGACUCCUACGGGAGGCAGCAGUAGGGAAUCUUCCGCAAUGGACGAAAGUCUGACGGAGCGACGCCGCGUGAGCGAAGAAGGUCUUCGGAUCGUAAAGCUCUGUUGUUAGGGAAGAAGAAGUACCGUUCGAAUAGGGCGGUACGGUGACGGUACCUAACGAGAAAGCCCCGGCUAACUACGUGCCAGCAGCCGCGGUAAUACGUAGGGGGCGAGCGUUGUCCGGAAUUAUUGGGCGUAAAGCGCGCGCAGGCGGUCCCUUAAGUCUGAUGUGAAAGCCCACGGCUCAACCGUGGAGGGUCAUUGGAAACUGGGGGACUUGAGUGCAGAAGAGAGAGCGGAAUUCCACGUGUAGCGGUGAAAUGCGUAGAGAUGUGGAGGAACACCAGUGGCGAAGGCGGCUCUCUGGUCUGUAACUGACGCUGA
rnacentral:rRNA from 1 species